UACGUAGGGGGCAAGCGUUGUCCGGAAUUAUUGGGCGUAAAGAGCGUGUAGGCGGCCAGAUAAGUCCGCUGUGAAAUCUCGAGGCUCAACUUCGAGCUGUCGGUGGAAACUAUCUGGCUAGAGUCCGGAAGAGGAGAAUGGAAUUCCUGGUGUAGCGGUGAAAUGCGCAGAUAUCAGGAAGAACACCCGUGGCGAAGGCGGUUCUCUGGGACGGUACUGACGACUGGAGACGGCGAAAGCGUGGGGAGCGAACAGG
rnacentral:rRNA from 1 species